GGUGGCUUCUCCUGUAGAUUACUCCUGAACCGUGUCCCUGAGACUUCCCAGACGGGAAUCAGAACCACUUCUCCUGUCCACCCACAAGACCUGGGCUGUGGUGUGUGGGUCUUGGCCUGUGUUUCUCUGCAGCUGGGGUCCACCUUCCCAAGCCUCCAGAGAGUUCUCCCUCCACGAUUGUGAAAACAAAUGAAAACAAAAUUAGAGCAAAGCUGACCUGGAGCCCUCAGGGAGCAAAACAUCAUCUCCACCUGACUCCUAGCCACUGCUUUCUCCUCUGUGCCAUCCACUCCCACCACCAGGUCGUUUUGGCCUGAGGAGCAGCCCUGCCUGCUGCUCUCCCCCCACCAUUUGGAUCACAGGAAGUGGAGGAGCCAGAGGUGCCUUUGUGGAGGACAGCAGUGGCUGCUGGGAGAGGGCUGUGGAGGAAGGAGCUUCUCGGAGCCCCCUCUCAGCCUUACCUGGGCCCCUCCUCUAGAGAAGAGCUCAACUCUCUCCCAACCUCACCAUGGAAAGAAAAUAAUUAUGAAUGCCACUGAGGCACUGAGGCCCUACCUCAUGCCAAACAAAGGGUUCAAGGCUGGGUCUAGCGAGGAUGCUGAAGGAAGGGAGGUAUGAGACCGUAGGUCAAAAGCACCAUCCUCGUACUGUUGUCACUAUGAGCUUAAGAAAUUUGAUACCAUAAAAUGGUAAAGACUUGGGUUCUGUGAGAUCAU
rnacentral:lncRNA from 1 species